rnacentral:rRNA from 1 species
UGGAGCAUGUGGUUAAUUCGAAGCAACGCGAGAACCUUACCAGGUCUUGACAUCCCGAUGCUAUUUCUAGAGAUAGAAGUUACUUCGGUACAUCGGUGACAGGUGGUGCAUGGUUGUCGUCAGCUCGUGUCGUGAGAUGUUGGGUUAAGUCCCGCAACGAGCGCAACCCCUAUUGUUAGUUGCCAUCAUUCAGUUGGGCACUCUAGCGAGACUGCCGGUAAUAAACCGGAGGAAGUGGGGAUGACGUCAAAUCAUCAUGCCCCUUAUGACCUGGGCUACACACGUGCUACAAUGGUUGGUACAACGAGUUGCGAGUCGGUGACGGCGAGCUAAUCUCUUAAAGCCAAUCUCAGUUCGGAUUGUAGGCUGCAACUCGCCUACAUGAAGUCGGAAUCGCUAGUAAUCGCGGAUCAGCACGCCGCGGUGAAUACGUUCCCGGGCCUU